UGGGGAAUAUUGCACAAUGGGCGCAAGCCUGAUGCAGCCAUGCCGCGUGUAUGAAGAAGGCCUUCGGGUUGUAAAGUACUUUCAGCGGGGAGGAAGGGAGUAAAGUUAAUACCUUUGCUCAUUGACGUUACCCGCAGAAGAAGCACCGGCUAACUCCGUGCCAGCAGCCGCGGUAAUACGGAGGGUGCAAGCGUUAAUCGGAAUUACUGGGCGUAAAGCGCACGCAGGCGGUUUGUUAAGUCAGAUGUGAAAUCCCCGGGCUCAACCUGGGAACUGCAUCUGAUACUGGCAGGCUUGAGUCUCGUAGAGGGGGGUAGAAUUCCAGGUGUAGCGAUGAAAUGCGUAGAGAUCUGGAGGAAUACCGGUGGCGAAGGCGGCCCCCUGGACAAAGACUGACGCUCAGGUGCGAAAGCGUGGGGAGCAAACAGG
rnacentral:rRNA from 1 species